rnacentral:rRNA from 1 species
UGAAAUGGCUUUCCCUCCAGAGUGGAUCCUGAGUACGGCGGAACACGUGAAAUUCCGUCGGAAUCCGGGAGGACCAUCUCCCAAGGCUAAAUACUCCCUAGUGACCGAUAGUGAACCAGUACCGUGAGGGAAAGGUGAAAAGCACCCCGGAAGGGGAGUGAAACAGUUCCUGAAACCGUGUGCCUACAAGUAGUUAGAGCCCGUUAAUGGGUGAUAGCGUGCCUUUUGUAGAAUGAACCGGCGAGUUACGAUUUGUUGCAAGGUUAAGCGGAAAAAGCGGAGCCGUAGCGAAAGCGAGUCUGAAUAGGGCGCAUAAGUAACAGGUCGUAGACCCGAAACCAGGUGAUCUACCCAUGUCCAGGAUGAAGGUAAGGUAAUACUUACUGGAGGUCCGAACCCACGCACGUUGAAAAGUGCGGGGAUGAGGUGUGGGUAGCGGAGAAAUUCCAAUCGAACUUGGAGAUAGCUGGUUCUCUCCGAAAUAGCUUUAGGGCUAGCCUCGAGGUAAAGAGUCAUGGAGGUAGAGCACUGUUUGGACUAGGGGCCCUUCUCGGGUUACCGAAUUCAGAUAAACUCCGAAUGCCAUGUACUUAUACUCGGGAGUCAGACUGCGAGUGAUAAGAUCCGUAGUCGAAAGGGAAACAGCCCAGACCACCAGUUAAGGUCCCCAAAUAUAUGUUAAGUGGAAAAGGAUGUGGGGUUGCUUAGACAACCAGGAUGUUGGCUUAGAAGCAGCCACCAUUGAAAGAGUGCGUAAUAGCUCACUGGUCGAGUGACCCCGCGCCGAAAAUGUACCGGGGCUAAACAUAUUACCGAAACUGUGGAUGAACCUCUUUAGAGGUUCGUGGUAGGAGAGCGUUCUAAGGGCGGUGAAGUCAGACCGGAAGGACUGGUGGAGCGCUUAGAAGUGAGAAUGCCGGUAUGAGUAGCGAAAGAAGGGUGAGAAUCCCUUCCACCGAAUAUCUAAGGUUUCCUGAGGAAGGCUCGUCCGCUCAGGGUUAGUCGGGACCUAAGCCGAGGCCGAUAGGCGUAGGCGAUGGACAACAGGUAGAGAUUCCUGUACCAGUGCUAAUUGUUUAACCGAUGGGGUGACACAGAAGGAUAGGGAAUCGCACGAAUGGAAAUGUGCGUCCAAGCAGUGAGUGUGAG